rnacentral:rRNA from 1 species
AUACGGAGGGGGCUAGCGUUGUUCGGAAUUACUGGGCGUAAAGGGCGCGUAGGCGGAUUGUCAAGUCAGAGGUGAAAGCCCUGGGCUCAACCUGGGAACUGCCUUUGAAACUAACGGUCUAGAGUCCGUGAGAGGAUGGCGGAAUUCCCAGUGUAGAGGUGAAAUUCGUAGAUAUUGGGAAGAACACCAGUGGCGAAGGCGGCCAUCUGGCUCGGUACUGACGCUGAGGCGCGAAAGCGUGGGGAGCAAACAGGAUUAGAAACCCCAGUAGUCC